rnacentral:rRNA from 1 species
AAGGCGCUUGAGAGAACUCGGGUGAAGGAACUAGGCAAAAUGGUGCCGUAACUUCGGGAGAAGGCACGCUGAUAUGUAGGUGAAGCGACUUGCUCGUGGAGCUGAAAUCAGUCGAAGAUACCAGCUGGCUGCAACUGUUUAUUAAAAACACAGCACUGUGCAAACACGAAAGUGGACGUAUACGGUGUGACGCCUGCCCGGUGCCGGAAGGUUAAUUGAUGGGGUUAGCGGUAACGCGAAGCUCUUGAUCGAAGCCCCGGUAAACGGCGGCCGUAACUAUAACGGUCCUAAGGUAGCGAAAUUCCUUGUCGGGUAAGUUCCGACCUGCACGAAUGGCGUAAUGAUGGCCAGGCUGUCUCCACCCGAGACUCAGUGAAAUUGAACUCGCUGUGAAGAUGCAGUGUACCCGCGGCAAGACGGAAAGACCCCGUGAACCUUUACUAUAGCUUGACACUGAACAUUGAGCCUUGAUGUGUAGGAUAGGUGGGAGGCUUUGAAGUGUGGACGCCAGUCUGCAUGGAGCCGACCUUGAAAUACCACCCUUUAAUGUUUGAUGUUCUAACGUUGGCCCCUAAUCGGGGUUGCGGACAGUGUCUGGUGGGUAGUUUGACUGGGGCGGUCUCCUCCUAAAGAGUAACGGAGGAGCACGAAGGUUGGCUAAUCCUGGUCGGACAUCAGGAGGUUAGUGCAAUGGCAUAAGCCAGCUUGACUGCGAGCGUGACGGCGCGAGCAGGUGCGAAAGCAGGUCAUAGUGAUCCGGUGGUUCUGAAUGGAAGGGCCAUCGCUCAACGGAUAAAAGGUACUCCGGGGAUAACAGGCUGAUACCGCCCAAGAGUUCAUAUCGACGGCGGUGUUUGGCACCUCGAUGUCGGCUCAUCACAUCCUGGGGCUGAAGUAGGUCCCAAGGGUAUGGCUGUUCGCCAUUUAAAGUGGUACGCGAGCUGGGUUUAGAACGUCGUGAGACAGUUCGGUCCCUAUCUGCCGUGGGCGCUGGAGAACUGAGGGGGGCUGCUCCUAGUACGAGAGGACCGGAGUGGACGCAUCACUGGUGUUCGGGUUGUCAUGCCAAUGGCACUGCCCGGUAGCUAAAUGCGGAAGAGAUAAGUGCUGAAAGCAUCUAAGCACGAAACUUGCCCCGAGAUGAGUUCUCCCUGAGACUUAGAGUCUCCUGAAGGAACGUUGAAGACGACGACGUUGAUAGGCCGGGUGUGUAAGCGCAGCGAUGCGUUGAGCUAACCGGUACUAAUGAACCGUGAGGCUUAACCUU